AGAGGCCUGCGGCCCAUCAGCUAGUUGGUAGGGUAACGGCCUACCAAGGCAGAGACGGGUAGGGGGCGUGAGAGCGCGGACCCCCACACUGGCACUGAGAUACGGGCCAGACUCCUACGGGAGGCAGCAGUAAGGGAUAUUGCGCAAUGGACGAAAGUCAGACGCAGCGACGCCGCGUGGGCGAUGAAGGCCUUCGGGUUGUAAAGCCCUUUUAUGGGGGAAGAGAAAAAGGACGGUACCCCAGGAAUAAGUCCCGGCUAACUACGUGCCAGCAGCCGCGGUAAAACGUAGGGGACAAGCGUUAUCCGGAUUCACUGGGCGUAAAGAGCGUUGAGGCGGUUCCGUAAGUUGGGCGUGAAAGCUCCGGGCUUAACUCGGAGAUGUCGUUCAAUACUGCGGGGCUUGAGGACAGCAGAGGAAGGUGGAAUUCCCGGUGUAGUGGUGAAAUGCGUAGAUAUCGGGAGGAACACCCGUGGCGAAGGCGGCCUUCUGGGCUGUUCCUGACGCUGAAGGCGAAAGCUAGGGGAGCGAACGGGAUUAGAUACCCCGGUAGUCCUAGCUGUAAACGAUGGAUGCUGGGUGUGGGGGGUGUAAAUUCCCUCUGUGCCGAAGCAAACGCGUUAAGCAUCCCGCCUGGGGACUACGGCCGCAAGGCUAAAACUCAAACGAAUUGACGGGGGCCCGCACAAGCAGCGGAGCGUGUGGUUUAAUUCGAUGCUACACGAAGAACCUUACCUGGGUUUGACAUGCACGUGGUAGGGAACCGAAAGGGGACCGACCUUCGAGAGCGUGCACAGGUGCUGCAUGGCUGUCGUCAGCUCGUGCCGUGAGGUGUCGGGUUAAGUCCCGUAACGAGCGCAACCCUUGCCCUUAGUUACAAGUGUCUAAGGGGACUGCCCGGGACAACUGGGAGGAAGGUGGGGAUGACGUCAAGUCAGCAUGGCCUUUAUAUCCAGGGCUACACACACGCUACAAUGGCCGGUACAAUAGGUUGCGAAGUCGUGAGGCGGAGCCAAUCCUCAAAGCCGGUCUCAGUUCGAAUUGCAGUCUGCAACUCGACUGCAUGAAGCUGGAGUUGCUAGUAAUCGCAGGUCAGCUAUACUGCGGUGAAUACGUUCCCGGGCCUUGUACACACCGCCCGUCACGUCAUGGAAGCUGGC
rnacentral:rRNA from 1 species